AGUGCCAACAGCCUGCUGAAUCUCUCUUCUCCUCCUCGAAUACUUGGAAUGGGACCGCUGAUGAAGACAGCUGCUUUCAUGGAGCUCACAGUUCUUAUCAGUCCAGUGAAGUCUUGCUUUAAAACUUCAGAUUUUUGCUUGGACACAUCAUUUGACCCUGUGUGUAGUACAAUGUUUUGUACUGUCGGAUACUUUGCCACAGUUUGCAGUAUUCUCUCCUGCAUGUCACUGACCAUAUCGUUUGGAAAACACAGGACUUUAGUGUUCCUGCUGCAGAACCACUGAACAUCUUUCACAGUGGAAUCACCCACAAUCAGAGUCUCAGGCCGAGCCUUCAGCUUUCUUUCUGGCCGUUUACCUUCUGAUGGGUUACAGGUCCUCCUCGUGCUGCUUUCCAGUGGAUGGCCAUUGAGUAAUCCGGGAUCAUCUGACAGGGGAGCAAAUCUGUUUUGCAGGGUCACCGCUCCGUUCAUGCUUGGCUUCUUUCCUGUCCUCCGGUGUACAGGAGUAGAAGAGGUCCUCUGUCUCAUAGGAAGAGAAGGCCAGUCAGCCUCAGAGGCUUCAGCUCUCUGCGGGGGGUCGGUCCUCCCAUGUCCUCCAAUUCUCCAGCUGUUGGACUUAUUCUUUGGCUUUGCUCCAAGAUGGUUCCAGGGAGGAUUAUCUUUUGAUUGUUUGUUAUUGUCCUCAGAUGUUGUCUUUCUCUCUGUAGAAUCUGUGCCAUUUAGCUGCGUGUUAGCUUUCUCUUCUCUGCUGAGAUGAGGUGGUGGCAAAGUUGUGUUGUUUCCAUAGAGUCCAUUUACCUCCACGUUCACUUCUAUGUGGCAAACCUUUGUUUCCAGUGCAGUGAUCUUCUCCAAAAGGUCUUGGUAAUCCUUUGUGGAAAGGGAAGGCAUCUUGUUGCUAGUUAGCCUUGUGUUAGCUGCUGCUCCGUAUAUCAGGCUUCAGCUGUGUGAAGGCCAAGUACACAUAGUGCUCUAGAUAAAAUGUUUUAAGAGGAAUGCAGGAAAAAAUCCUUUUGUUUAAAG